rnacentral:rRNA from 1 species
AGAGUUUUUUCCUGGCUCAGGAUGAACGCUGGCGGCGUGCUUAACACAUGCAAGUCGAACGGGAAACCUAUUAUUGAAGCUUCGGCAGAUUUAGUUUGUUUCUAGUGGCGGACGGGUGAGUAACGCGUGGGUAACCUGCCCUAUACAGGGGGAUAACAACUAGAAAUGGUUGCUAAUACCGCAUAAGCGCACAGGACCGCAUGGUCCGGUGUGAAAAACUCCGGUGGUAUAGGAUGGACCCGCGUUGGAUUAGGUAGUUGGUGGGGUAACGGCCUACCAAGCCGACGAUCAGUAGCCGACCUGAGAGGGUGACCGGCCACAUUGGGACUGAGACACGGCCCAAACUCCUACGGGAGGCAGCAGUGGGGAAUAUUGCACAAUGGGGGAAACCCUGAUGCAGCGACGCCGCGUGAGCGAUGAAGUAUUUCGGUAUGUAAAGCUCUAUCAGCAGGGAAGAAAAUGACGGUACCUGACUAAGAAGCACCGGCUAAAUACGUGCCAGCAGCCGCGGUAAUACGUAUGGUGCAAGCGUUAUCCGGAUUUACUGGGUGUAAAGGGAGCGUAGACGGAGUGGCAAGUCUGAUGUGAAAACCCGGGGCUCAACCCCGGGACUGCAUUGGAAACUGUCAAUCUAGAGUACCGGAGAGGUAAGCGGAAUUCCUAGUGUAGCGGUGAAAUGCGUAGAUAUUAGGAGGAACACCAGUGGCGAAGGCGGCUUACUGGACGGUAACUGACGUUGAGGCUCGAAAGCGUGGGGAGCAAACAGGAUUAGAUACCCUGGUAGUCCACGCCGUAAACGAUGAC